GUCUUACUUUAAUUUAAACCAUGUCAGCUAUCUAGUUUUAUCUACAAAAAAGAGCCAGUUUUGUAUUCUUUGAUAUCAAGUUCAAUUCUCCAUGCAGAAACGACAAUUUUUUUUUUAUGUCCAGUAGCAUCGUAUAUUCUUAAAAUAGUUUCUCGUACAAUGUCUGGACAUCGGUGGACUUGCAACAUUGCAAAAUCACACCUUACAAAUGAAAAUCAACACUAUGC
rnacentral:lncRNA from 1 species